rnacentral:rRNA from 1 species
UGACGAGCGGCGGACGGGUGAGUAAUGCCUGGGAAUAUGCCUUGAUGUGGGGGAUAACCAUUGGAAACGAUGGCUAAUACCGCAUAAUGCCUACGGGCCAAAGAGGGGGAUCUUCGGACCUCUCGCGUCAAGAUUAGCCCAGGUGGGAUUAGCUAGUUGGUGAGGUAAUGGCUCACCAAGGCGACGAUCCCUAGCUGGUCUGAGAGGAUGAUCAGCCACACUGGAACUGAGACACGGUCCAGACUCCUACGGGAGGCAGCAGUGGGGAAUAUUGCACAAUGGGCGCAAGCCUGAUGCAGCCAUGCCGCGUGUGUGAAGAAGGCCUUCGGGUUGUAAAGCACUUUCAGUCGUGAGGAAGGUAGUUGCGUUAAUAGCGUAAUUAUUUGACGUUAGCGACAGAAGAAGCACCGGCUAACUCCGUGCCAGCAGCCGCGGUAAUACGGAGGGUGCGAGCGUUAAUCGGAAUUACUGGGCGUAAAGCGCAUGCAGGUGGUUUGUUAAGUCAGAUGUGAAAGCCCGGGGCUCAACCUCGGAAUUGCAUUUGAAACUGGCAGACUAGAGUACUGUAGAGGGGGGUAGAAUUUCAGGUGUAGCGGUGAAAUGCGUAGAGAUCUGAAGGAAUACCGGUGGCGAAGGCGGCCCCCUGGACAGAUACUGACACUCAGAUGCGAAAGCGUGGGGAGCAAACAGGAUUAGAUACCCUGGUAGUCCACGCCGUAAACGAUGUCUACUUGGAGGUUGUGGCCUUGAGCCGUGGCUUUCGGAGCUAACGCGUUAAGUAGACCGCCUGGGGAGUACGGUCGCAAGAUUAAAACUCAAAUGAAUUGACGGGGGCCCGCACAAGCGGUGGAGCAUGUGGUUUAAUUCGAUGCAACGCGAAGAACCUUACCUACUCUUGACAUCCAGAGAAGCCAGCGGAGACGCAGGUGUGCCUUCGGGAGCUCUGAGACAGGUGCUGCAUGGCUGUCGUCAGCUCGUGUUGUGAAAUGUUGGGUUAAGUCCCGCAACGAGCGCAACCCUUAUCCUUGUUUGCCAGCGAGUAAUGUCGGGAACUCCAGGGAGACUGCCGGUGAUAAACCGGAGGAAGGUGGGGACGACGUCAAGUCAUCAUGGCCCUUACGAGUAGGGCUACACACGUGCUACAAUGGCGCAUACAGAGGGCUGCCAACCAGCGAUGGUGAGCGAAUCCCAAAAAGUGCGUCGUAGUCCGGAUUGGAGUCUGCAACUCGACUCCAUGAAGUCGGAAUCGCUAGUAAUCGUGGAUCAGAAUGCCACGGUGAAUACGUUCCCGGGCCUUGUACACACCGCCCGUCACACCAUGGGAGUGGGCUGCAAAAGAAGUGGGUAGUUUAACCUUUCGAGGAGGACGCUCACCACUUUGUGGUUCAUGACUGGGGUGAAGUCGUAACAAGGUAGCGCUAGGGGAACCUGGCGCUG